rnacentral:rRNA from 1 species
GAUGAACGCUGGCGGCGUGCCUAACACAUGCAAGUCGAACGGAGAUUACGGACGGAAGUUUUCGGAUGGAAGCCUGUAAUUCUUAGUGGCGGACGGGUGAGUAACGCGUGGGCAACCUGCCCUAUACAGGGGGAUAGCAGCUGGAAACGGCUGGUAAGACCGCAUAAGUCGGUUAAAUCGCAUGAUUUGAUCGGGAAAUGAGCAAUCAGGUAUAGGAUGGGCCCGCGUCCGAUUAGCCAGUUGGCAGGGUAAAAGCCUACCAAAGCGACGAUCGGUAGCCGGACUGAGAGGUCGGACGGCCACAUUGGGACUGAGACACGGCCCAAACUCCUACGGGAGGCAGCAGUGGGGGAUAGUGCACAAUGGAGGAAACUCUGAUGCAGCGACGCCGCGUGAGUGAAGAAGUAUUUCGGUAUGUAAAGCUCUAUCAGCAGGGAAGAUGAUGACGGUACCUGACUAAGAAGCCCCGGCUAACUACGUG